rnacentral:rRNA from 1 species
GUCCUUUUGAUUAUAAUUUAAGGUCUAGCCUGCCCAAUGAUGUAAAUUUAAUGGCCGCAGUAUACUGACUGUGCAAAGGUAGCAUAAUCAUUAGUUUUUUAAUUGAAAGCUUGUAUGAAAGGUUUGAUGAAAAAAAAAUUGUCUCUAGGUAAAGGUUUUGAAAUUUAUUUUUAAGUUAAAAAGCUUAAAUUAAUAUUGAAGACGAGAAGACCCUAUAGAGUUUUAUUUAUAUUAGUAAUAAAUUAAGUUUUAGAAUUUUAAAUUUGUAUUAUUAAGUAAAUUUAGUUGGGGUGAUUGAAAAAUUUAUUAAACUUUUUUUUUAUUUGAACAUUUAUUUAUGAGUUUAUGAUCCUUUUUAAGAUUAUAAGAUAAAAUUACCUUAGGGAUAACAGCGUAAUUUUUUUUAGAGUUCUUAUCGAAAAAAAAGAUUGCGACCUCGAUGUUGGAUUAAAAUUAAAUUUUUGGUGUAGAAGCUAAAAAAUUAGGUCUGUUCGACCUUUAAAUUUUUACAUGAUCUGAGUUUAAACCGGCGUAA